rnacentral:rRNA from 1 species
GAUGAACGCUAGCUACAGGCUUAACACAUGCAAGUCGAGGGGCAGCACAGUGUAGCAAUACACGGGUGGCGACCGGCGCACGGGUGCGUAACACGUAUCCAAUCUGCCCGUUACUCGGGGAUAGCCUUCUGAAAGGAAGAUUAAUACCCGAUAGCAUUCAUUUGCGGCAUCGCUUAUGAAUUAAAGAUUUAUCGGUAACGGAUGAGGAUGCGUACGAUUAGCUUGUUGGCGGGGUAACGGCCCACCAAGGCUACGAUCGUUAGGGGUACUGGGCGGAAGCGCCCCCACACUGGAACUCGGACACGGUCCAGACUCCUACGGGAGGCAGGAGUAGAGAAUAUUGGUCAAUGGUCGAGAGACUGAACCAGCCAAGUAGCGGGAAGGAUGACUGCCCUAUGGGUUGUAAACUUCUUUUGUUUGGGAAUAAAAUCAGGUACGUGUACCUGUUUGUAUGUACCAUGCGAAUAAGCAUCGGCUAAUUCCGUGCCAGCAGCCGCCGUAAGAC